rnacentral:misc_RNA from 1 species
GUGAAUCAUCGAAUCUUUGAACGCAAAUUGCACUCUCUUCGGAGAGUAUGCCCGUUUGUGGGUCAGUAUUAAUAAAAACCGUUGUGUUGCUUCUUGGUGACGCUCCGGAGUUUGGGUCAUCUUCAUAUCAAUUAGGUUGUAAGAGGCUUAAAAUCUACUUGUGUUGAGCAUUUUAGACGCACAGAAAUUCUUUUUUUUAUUCGUCAGUCUUAAUUCUCAAAAUCCUAUUAGAUGCAACCAUUA